rnacentral:lncRNA from 1 species
GAGUGCCAAAUUGGGUAUCAACACCGCGUCGCAAAUAUAUUCUGCGAGUGGGGAAAAUUUUCACUACUCUCAUGGAAGCGGGCCGUUCGCCUCGACAAGUUAAUAGAUGCAUCUAUGGUUCGUAUCGUUCGACCCUCAGCAGUGCACAGUUUAUAUUUAUAUGUUGGAUCGGAUCGUACGACCUCGACAUGACUUGCGCAUGAUAAUUCUUUGGAACUAAUAAUAAUUGAUAUUGUUCCAUUGGCUUGAGAUACAAAUUGUUAAAUGAUAAAAAUAAAUUUGGAAAUAUGUAUUAGUAAAAGGAUUGUUUAUUAUUUUUGGCUAUUUAGUUUCCAGUUAUAUUAUGUAAUUCAUGCUUAAUUAUAACAUCGGUAUUUUAUUGUUCGCCCAUAGUAAGUGUCAGAGUCGACCCCACGUCACUACUUCUUCGAGGUUAGACGGGAUACUUACUGGGUACGUGAUUUACGUACUCAUACUACACUUGCUGCACAUUUUUGUAUAGGUACAUAUAUGUCUCGUGGCGUUGUGGGUGCAGAGGCAUGGUUAAUGCUGGGACUUAGGUGAUUGCAUUCCAUGUUACGAUUCGCAGUCAGCAGAGUCUCCUUCAGAGCUAUUUAUAUUUUUCCUGUCUAAUAUGUGUUCCGGACAGAUGUUGUAUUUUAUUUUACUCCUUAGUUGAUGUUCAUGCACUUGUGACACCAGAUUUUGGGGUAAUUAUGGAUUGUUCAGUAUUAUAAUUUUGAAAAUAUUAUCACCUACUCUAUAAAACUUUAUCUCUUAUUAUUUAAUUGAAGGAAAAAAUUUGAUUUCAAAAUACUAAAAUGAGUAAUCAAGUUAAUCAAUUAUCGUUAGCUUGUCCUACAACGGGUUAGGCGCCAUCACGACAUUUAACGGAUUUGAAUCGUGACAGAACUGAUUUCAAUAUCAUAACUAUUAUUUCUAAAGUUGUAAUACAUCCAGAAAACUAUCAAAGAGCUUAUAUUGAAUUACCUCCAAACAGCUUAAGGAGGAAACAUUAUGACCAAAUGAAGGCCAGCCACUCCACAGCUAAAUGCAGAAAAUCAGCAAAUACUCUCAGCAACUUAAGAACAGCAUAAUCAACCACCACUCAAAAUCCCACUAGAAUUGAAACAAAAACCAGUAGAAAAAAAAAGGAAAGAGAAGCAGCUUUGAAUUCUUUCUUUUUGUUAUAUUUUCUGUAUCUAGACUUGAACUUUUCAACUUCUUUAUUUUUUGAAAAAAAAAAAAAUUAGUGUGGGUGAGAAAAGUAGCGUGAGGUUUUUUUGUAGACUUUUGUGUGUGUGAAAGGGAAGUGUGAGGUCUCUUUUAUAGAGUGUAAGAGGAAAAGGGGAGGAUAAAAAGGAAUCUUGUCAGCUAAAAAUUAGGGGAGGGCGUCUAUUUUUUUUAACAGAAAAUAGACAGCUGUCAUAUUUUUUUAGCAGCUGUCCUUUUCUCUAUUUUUUUCAGCACCAUACCCUUUUUUAAAGUAACCUUUUUACCCCAACGUCUAACCUAAUUUCUGGUUUUCAUUACACUUUAACCUCUUUUCUGGAAGCUUCCUAAGUAACUACUCAGAUUCUCUAAUUUUGGUGUACUCUCUAGUCUACUCAAUUCUUGCAAAUUACUUUUCUUUUAACAUUCUAUAUUACCUCCAAACAUGCAGUCUUUUAUCCAAAUUUACGGCUCUUUUUUCCUUAUCACAAUUAAACUAAACAAAGCUAAACUAGCACUAGGAUAACAACACAAAGUAAACCUAAAUUAUCAACUAAUUAACGUAUUAAUUAGGAAAAUAGAUAAUUUAAACAAGCAACACGAUUAUCAAAUGAUUUCAGAUUCAACUAAAACAAAUAACCACUUAGAAAGUCAAAAUAAUUUUAAUUAUAAACCUAAGCAUGCUUGGAUUAACAGAAAUCACCAAUUAACCCAAUCACACACUCACAUGAAAGGCGUGUAUUUGAAAUACUAAUCUAAUCGGACAAUUAAACACACAGAAUGCAAUUGUAGUUCAAGGCAAGACAGUAGUGAUGCUACUUUAUUUUGCUAAAAUGAACUAACUUGAACAAUUACAAUUAACAUAAAAAUUAAUCUGAACUAACGACACAUUAAUGAGAAAAGAGCAGAGGAGAGAAAUACCUAUAGUGUUUGAAUGGGUUGUCAAAAGAAACGGAUUUCCGGCAAGCCGGAGAAAUUGCCACACAAACACUGGCCGGAUUUCUCCAUGCGAGAUAUUGUUCUAUGCAGCAAAUAUCUCCUACUGACCCGAUAAAAUGAAGCAGAACAAGGCGAGGAUGAGUUGUGCGACCCAAUGGAGCUUGACCAAGGUUCUGGUGGUCAUGAGAUCAGUAAAGUUCAUGCAAUCAUCAAGAGAAGUCAACUGGUGUAGGUUUCGAUCUCAAAUGAGCCAGAAUUAGGGACAAAUUAAAAAAGGGAAAACUUUAAGGUUUUUGCGAUUUCUUAGAUUUGAAAUUAAAGGAUUUUGGGGAGGUUUUCUGGGAAAAUUGGUAGGAGAUUUGGGAUUAGGAGGGGAAGGAGAUUGUAUGGUGAUAAAAUUGGGCCAUUUGGUAUGGUGCCGCCGCCAUAGGGUGAUUUUCGGCGGCGGUAUGUCAGGAGAAGGGUAAUAGAUUGAGAGAUGGGGGAAAUGAAGGGGUUCU